rnacentral:ribozyme from 13 species
GGAAGAAAGGUGGAAAGGAGGAUGAAUAUAUUGGAAAAACGUACAAUGAAAUUUGGAGGUUGAAGUUGGACGAAGCUUCUUUUUCCUCUUCUUCUUCUUCUUCAUCUUCAUCUUCGUCUCGUUUUUUGUGGGAACAAGUGAGAAUGGCUGAGUC